CCUUCCCCUAGAGGUAGUGCAGGUGUGGCAGCCGAGUCACACGUGCAUCGGUAGGUGGCAGAGAGGGGAGAGACCUAUCUAAGCUCAGUGUUCCAAACUUUGAAUAUCUGAACAAUUAGUAACCUAACAGU